rnacentral:rRNA from 1 species
CAUGUCCUUUUGAUAAUAAUUUAAGGUCUGAUCUGCUCAAUGAGUUUUAAAUAGCCGCAGUAUUCUAACUGUGCAAAGGUAGCAUAAUAAUUAGUUUCUUAAUUAGGAACUGGAAUGAAGGAUUGGACAAGAAAAUUUCUGUCUCUUUUUUAAUUUUGUUGAAUUUUAUUUUUAAGUGAAAAAGCUUAAAUUUAUAUAAAAGACGAGAAGACCCUAUAGAGUUUAAUAUUUUUUUGUAAUUAGAUAUUAGAAUAAUUUUUUAUAAAAAUUUAUUUAGUUGGGGUGACUGAAAGAUUAAUUAAAUUCUUUUAAAUAUUAUUGUUAAUAAACAAAUUUUAUAUCUAUAGUUUAUAAAUCUAAAAUAAAUUACCUUAGGGAUAACAGCGUAAUUUUUCUUUAAAGUUCUUAUUGUAAGGAAAGUUUGCGACCUCGAUGUUGGAUUAAAAUAAAUUUUUGGUGCA